GACAAAAAACAGAAGAAGGAUGUAGCACAAAAUGCUAUUUUUAAUGCUACAAUCAUUCUCUCAACGGGAAGAUUUCAAUAUAACUAAACCUGGGAGAAAUACCACAUUUUCUGUUCUUGUGAUUUGAUUAUUAACUAUGUAAGCAAGGAAUUAUAUUUCAUAUGAAGUGUGAAAAUAGCUAAUUUGGUACUGACUACCCAUUGCUAUAAUAUUAGACCUGGGAUUUUUUAUUUUGCAGUCAGAGAAAUGUUAUUGAAAUGAAGUGCAUGGAUUAAUACAAAUUAAUUACGCUGGCAAAGGCUGCCAGCUUUGCAUUCCCCAGAAGCAAAGCCUUCUGAUCUGAGUUCUGCAGUUAAGUAUGGAAGAGAUAUGAGAAUGAAUGAUGCUGCAGAGGUAAAUGCAAAUAGCACCCAGCCCAUAUCACCAUGCUGUGAAAAUCCUUCCCAGGCUGUGCUGGGACGUUCCUAGGAUGACCCUGCUACAUAUAGUCCUGCUCUGCCCAGAAUAAUACCACUGCUCUAAAAAUACAACCUGCUUUCUGUAGGCUUCAACAAGUAAUGAAGUCCAAAACUUUUCUUCCUCUUAAAUUCACUUGGAAAGGAGAAACAAAAAGAUGUAUAAUACUGUAGGGCGAUGUUCUUUCAUCUCUAGAGACCCAGGCUCAAACAGAACAAGAAGCUGGUUCAGAUGCUUUGAAAGGAUAUAUUAAGAAACUUUUUUCAGGAGUGUAGAAAAUAUUAUGGAAGCUCAAGAGAGUAAGGUCUGAGGCUAUUCUGGCAGAAUGAAGAACCAAUAUGUUAACAUCUGUCCAGGGCAAAUAACAAGAGGGGAAGCUGCCUCAAACUAUGACUCACAUCAGGACUUUUUGCAGGAAAUUCUUCCAGAAGGACAAAGUUUAGUGAUCAGCUUGCAGGAGGACAUGAGCAGAAUUGCAAGCACGUACGCUGCUCGUCCCAGUGACAUCCUUUCUGCCAAACUGUGAGGCAUGCAAUCUGUUUUGUUCUGAAGCUAGGAAGUGCCGACAGGUGUCGUGCUCCCCAGCCUCCCUGUGGAUGGGAUGGGGCCACAGGUCAUCAAGUCCUACCAAGGGAGACCCUACGGUUCCUGCUGGACCCGUCCCUGAGGCUGCAUAGAGGCUGCUGUGGUCCAGUGUUCACAGCUGGAUUUCAGACAGUGAGUUAAUAUGCCCCAAGGAAAAAACAAAACAAAACAAACAAACAAAAAAACACCCCUCAUCUUUAAGUGUUUUCCAUCCAAAGAAUAAUACCGCUAAAACCUCCCAAAAUCAAGAAGGUGAGGACUAAACAGAGGUGAACCUCGCUUAAAUGCCUGGAAAAAAAAAAAAAAAAAAAAGGAGAAAGCUUCAACAGCACUAGUAAGUAAAAGGAAGAAGGUCAUUGGUUUGGGAUAGAUGCGAAUGGAUAAACUUUCUUUUAUGAAAAAUACAAGUGGAUUUACAUUAUUGAAUAGGUAUGGAUCAACAGAAAGAACAAAAUUAAUCACCCAAAAGGUAUUGGAAAAAAAAUCCUUCAAACAAAGGUGGAAGAAAGCUGUAAAUUAAGAAAGCCAAGCUUACUGAAAAUGAUGGUAUUCAGAUAAAAAAUCCUUUCUGAGAAAGAAUUGUGGAAAUUAAAGAGCAGUUUCAUUUACUUUCAUGCAUAUUUCUUAUUUCAAAAUAAUAAAUUAAUCCCACUUUCUUUGA